rnacentral:rRNA from 1 species
ACGAGACACGUGAAACCUUGUGGGAAGCAGGGAGGACCACCUCCCAAGGCUAAAUACUACCUGAUGACCGAUAGUGAAGCAGUACCGUGAGGGAAAGGUGAAAAGAACCCCGGGAGGGGAGUGAAAUAGAACCUGAAACCGUGUGCCUACAACCGCUCAGAGCCCCUUAUGAGGGUGAUGAGGUGCUUUUUGUAGAACGAGCCAACGAGUUACGGUAUGUAGCAAGGUUAAGUACUUAAGGUACGGAGCCGAAGGGAAACCGAGUCUGAAUAGGGCGACUAGUUGCAUGCCGUAGACCCGAAACCGGGUGACCUAUCCAUGGCCAGGUUGAAGCGAGGGUAAAACCUCGUGGAGGACCGAACCACGUUGCUGUUGAAAAAGCAUGGGAUGAGCUGUGGAUAGCGGAGAAAUUCCAAUCGAACCCGGAGAUAGCUGGUUCUCUCCGAAAUAGCUUUAGGGCUAGCGUCGAGUAUGAGUAGUGGAGGUAGAGCACUGAAUGGGCUAGGGGGCAUAGCGCUUACCGAACCUUAUCAAACUCCGAAUGCCACAUACUUUGAGCUCGGCAGUCAGACUACGAAUGAUAAGAUCCGUGGUCAAAAGGGAAACAGCCCAGAUCGUCAGCUAAGGUCCCAAAGUGUAAGUUAAGUGGGAAAGGAUGUGAGAUUUCUAAGACAACUAGGAUGUUGGCUUAGAAGCAGCCAUUCAUUAAAAGAGUGCGUAAUAGCUCACUAGUCGAGAGAUCUUGCGCCGAAAAUGUAACGGGGCUAAACUUACCACCGAAGCUACGGGCUUGAACUUAGUUCAAGCGGUAGGAGAGCGUCGUAACCGGGCUGAAGUCGUACCGUAAGGAGCGGUGGACUGGUUACGAGUGAGAAUGUUGGCAUCAGUAGCGAGAUGUGGGUGAGAAUCCCACAGGCCGAAAACCUAAGGUUUCCUCAGGAAGGUUCGUCCGCUGAGGGUUAGUCGGGACCUAAGCCGAGGCCGAAAGGCGUAGGUGAUGGACAACUGG